rnacentral:rRNA from 1 species
CACAUGCAGUCGAGCGGUAGCACAGAGAGCUUGCUCUCGGGUGACGAGCGGCGGACGGGUGAGUAAUGUCUGGGAAACUGCCUGAUGGAGGGGGAUAACUACUGGAAACGGUAGCUAAUACCGCAUAACGUCGCAAGACCAAAGUGGGGGACCUUCGGGCCUCAUGCCAUCAGAUGUGCCCAGAUGGGAUUAGCUAGUAGGUGGGGUAACGGCUCACCUAGGCGACGAUCCCUAGCUGGUCUGAGAGGAUGACCAGCCACACUGGAACUGAGACACGGUCCAGACUCCUACGGGAGGCAGCAGUGGGGAAUAUUGCACAAUGGGCGCAAGCCUGAUGCAGCCAUGCCGCGUGUGUGAAGAAGGCCUUCGGGUUGUAAAGCACUUUCAGCGGGGAGGAAGGCGWUAAGGUUAAUAACCUUGKCGAUUGACGUUACCCGCAGAAGAAGCACCGGCUAACUCCGUGCCAGCAGCCGCGGUAAUACGGAGGGUGCAAGCGUUAAUCGGAAUUACUGGGCGUAAAGCGCACGCAGGCGGUCUGUCAAGUCGGAUGUGAAAUCCCCGGGCUCAACCUGGGAACUGCAUUCGAAACUGGCAGGCUAGAGUCUUGUAGAGGGGGGUAGAAUUCCAGGUGUAGCGGUGAAAUGCGUAGAGAUCUGGAGGAAUACCGGUGGCGAAGGCGGCCCCCUGGACAAAGACUGACGCUCAGGUGCGAAAGCGUGGGGAGCAAACAGGAUUAGAUACCCUGGUAGUCCACGCCGUAAACGAUGUCGAUUUGGAGGUUGUGCCCUUGAGGCGUGGCUUCCGGAGCUAACGCGUUAAAUCGACCGCCUGGGGAGUACGGCCGCAAGGUUAAAACUCAAAUGAAUUGACGGGGGGCCCGCACAAGCGGUGGAGCAUGUGGUUUAAUUCGAUGCAACGCGAAGAACCUUACCUGGUCUUGACAUCCACAGAACUUUCCAGAGAUGGAUUGGUGCCUUCGGGAACUGUGAGACAGGUGCUGCAUGGCUGUCGUCAGCUCGUGUUGUGAAUGUUGGGUUAAGUCCC